rnacentral:rRNA from 1 species
UACGUAGGGACCAAGCGUUGUUCGGAUUUACUGGGCGUAAAGGGCGCGUAGGUGGCGCGGUAAGUCACUUGUGAAAUCUCUGAGCUUAACUCAGAACGGCCAAGUGAUACUGCAGUGCUAGAGUGUGGAAGGGGCAAUCGGAAUUCUUGGUGUAGCGGUGAAAUGCGUAGAUAUCAAGAGGAACACCUGAGGUGAAGACGGGUUGCUGGGCCAACACUGACGCUGAGGCGCGAAAGCCAGGGGAGCAAACAGG